rnacentral:rRNA from 1 species
UGGGGAAUCUUGCGCAAUGGGCGAAAGCCUGACGCAGCAACGCCGCGUGGGGGAUGAAGGCUCUCGGGUCGUAAACCCCUUUCAGGAGGGACGAAAAUGACGGUACCCCCAGAAGAAGGCCCGGCCAACUACGUGCCAGCAGGCGCGGUAAUACGUAGGGGCCUAGCGUUGUCCGGAAUUAUUGGGCGUAAAGAGCUCGUAGGCGGCCCACCAAGUCGGAUGUGAAAUCUCAAGGCUUAACCUUGAAAUUGCAUCCGAUACUGAUGGGCUUGAGGCAGGUAGGGGAAGGUGGAAUUCCUGGUGUAGCGGUGAAAUGCGCAGAUAUCAGGAGGAACACCGGUGGCGAAGGCGGCCUUCUGGGCCUGUACUGACGCUGAGGAGCGAAAGCGUGGGGAGCAAACAGGAUUAGAUACCCCCGUAGUCC